ACGAACGCUGGCUGCGUGCUUAACACAUGCAAGUCGAACGCUGAAGCCGACAGCUUGCUGUUGGUGGAUGAGUGGCGAACGGGUGAGUAACACGUGAGUAACCUGCCCCUGAUUUCGGGAUAAGCCUGGGAAGCUGGGUCUAAUACCGGAUACGACCUCUUGACGCAUGUUGGGUGGUGGAAAGUUUUUCGAUCGGGGAUGGGCUCGCGGCCUAUCAGCUUGUUGGUGGGGUAAUGGCCUACCAAGGCGACGACGGGUAGCCGGCCUGAGAGGGCGACCGGCCACACUGGGACUGAGACACGGCCCAGACUCCUACGGGAGGCAGCAGUGGGGAAUAUUGCACAAUGGGGGAAACCCUGAUGCAGCGACGCAGCGUGCGGGAUGACGGCCUUCGGGUUGUAAACCGCUUUCAGCAGGGAAGAAGCGAAAGUGACGGUACCUGCAGAAGAAGUACCGGCUAACUACGUGCCAGCAGCCGCGGUAAUACGUAGGGUACGAGCGUUGUCCGGAAUUAUUGGGCGUAAAGAGCUCGUAGGUGGUUGGUCACGUCUGCUGUGGAAACGCAACGCUUAACGUUGCGCGUGCAGUGGGUACGGGCUGACUAGAGUGCAGUAGGGGAGUCUGGAAUUCCUGGUGUAGCGGUGAAAUGCGCAGAUAUCAGGAGGAACACCGGUGGCGAAGGCGGGACUCUGGGCUGUAACUGACACUGAGGAGCGAAAGCAUGGGGAGCGAACAGGAUUAGAUACCCUGGUAGUCCAUGCCGUAAACGUUGGGCACUAGGUGUGGGGGACAUUCCACGUUCUCCGCGCCGUAGCUAACGCAUUAAGUGCCCCGC
rnacentral:rRNA from 2 species